rnacentral:lncRNA from 1 species
GUAUGAGAUACAAAUCUGAGAUCUUUGAAAAGUUCAAAGAAUUCAGAUAUGAGGUAAAGAAGCAAAUUAGAAAACUCCUUAAGAUUUUUCGAUCAGAUCGAAGAGGUGUAUACCUUAGUGAAAAUUUCUAAGUUAUCUCAAGAAAAAUGACAUAGUCUCAUAAUAGACUCCUCCAGGAAUACCUCAACUUAACAGGAUGUCGAAGC